UUUGGCAUAUGAUGAUGAAAUCUUAUCCUACACACCGAAUUUACAGUGGGGAAUGAAACUCUCAUUAUUAUCUGAUGUCUUG